rnacentral:lncRNA from 1 species
UGUGCUUCUCUUCUUCCUCCCACCCUCCACCCUCAAGUAGACCCCAGUGUCUUUCAUUCCCCAAAAGCUAACAUUUUAAACCAGCCCAAAAUAUAAUAAUUUUAAUCUGAAGUGGCAUGUGAUUUCUGUUAAUGAUAAAAAAGAUAACAUUUGAAAAGGAGUCCUUUUGAUAACCCAUGUAUUAAGGACUAAAUGUUUGUACCUUCUCCCACCCCCAGAAUCAUAUGUGAAACCCUAACAACCAAUGUGAAUGUAUUUGGAGAUAGGGUCAUAAGCAGAUGGUAGAGUUUAAAUGAGGUCAUAAGGGUGGAGCCCUAAUCUGAUAGAGCUGUUGCACUUUUCAGAAGAGGAAGAGAUACUGGAACGUGUCUCUGUCUGUGUGCAUUCAGAAAGAAGGCCAUGUGAUACAGUUUGGAUGUUGCCUCCAACCAAAUGUCAUGUCAAAAUGUAAUCUUCAGUAUUGGAGGGGAGGCAUGGUGGGGGGAGAUUGGGUCCCCCCACCCAGUGGAGGCAAGUUUCUCAUGAAUGGUUUAGCACCAUCCCCCUUGGUACUGUCUUCACAAUAGUGAGCUCUCAUGAUAUUUGGUCAUUUAAAAGUGUGUAGCACUUCCCCCUUCACGUUCUCUUGCUCCUGCUCUGGCCAUGUGACAUGCCUAUUCCCUCUUCACCUUCUGGCAUGACUGUUAAGUUUCCUGUGGCCUCCCUGGAAGCUGAGCAGAUUCCAUCAUCAUGCUUCCUGUACAGUCUGCAGAACCAUGAGCCAAUUAAGCCUCUUUUCUUUAUAAAUUACCCAGUCUGAGGUACUUCUUUAUAGCACUGCAAGAAUGGACUAAUACGCUAUGUGAAGACAAAGGGGAUGUCUGCAAGCCAGGACGAGUGCGUCUACCAGAAACUGAGUUCUGCUGGACUUUGAUCUAGGACAUCCAGCCUCCAGAAUGGAAUGUGCCAUAUGUGGAGACCUGCAUGGAAAGGAACUGAGGAUGCUCUCUCACUAAAAGCUAGAAGGAACUGAGGCCCUCAGUCAACAGUCUACAAGACACUGAAUCUUGCCAGCAGCCAAGCAGUGAGCUUGAAAGCAGAUCUAUCAUCAGCUGAACCUUCAGAUGAGACCGCAGCCUAAGCAGAUACCUUGGUUGCAGCCAUGUGAGACAACCUGAAACAGAGGGCACAGCUAAGCCUCAGCCAGGUUCAUGACCCUCUGAGGAAACUGUGAGAAAGCAAAUGUCAUUUUAAGCUAUUUAAUUUUGGAGGUAGUUUAUUACACAACAAUAAAUAACUAUUAUAAUUAUCUUGAGGAUUUAUUUCCUGGGGAGAAUACAUGGAAUUGCAUAUAUAGGUCCUCAUAUGCAGAAUACUGGUACCCUAGAGAUGUUCACCCCAGAGAUGUUUUAGGAACCUGUGAAUAUGUUACAUUAAAUGGCAAAGUUUUCCUGGAUGGUUUAAGUUUAAGAUGGAAAAGUUUUACUGGAUUAUCCAGUGGGUCCAAUCUAGUAACAUGAGUCCUUAAAAAUGGAGAAUAUUUUUUGGCCAUGAUCAGAGAGACAUGUGAUGAUGGAAAAAGUGUCAGAGAUGCAAUGUGAGGGGACUAAAACUGCUGUUGCUGACUUUAAAGAUGGAGAGAGGGGAACCCGAGUCAAGGAAUGCAAAUGGCCUCUGGAAGCUGGAAAAAGCAAGAAAUGGAUUCUCCUUUAGAGCCUGUGGAAUAAAAUGCAGUCAUGCUGACACCUUGAUUUUACCUCAGUGAGACCAAUACUGGAGUAUGACCUUCGGAGCUGAAUAAAAUUAUACGUACACAUCUUAAUUUCUUGGGAUUUGAUUACUUCUUCUGCUUUGAAAUUAGACCAAGUUUAGCCUGCCUUUGCUAUUUUGGCGUAUCUCCAAUUCUUCAUGAUUUUCUCAUCGCAAAGGCCACAUAAGGACAGUGAGAAGGCAGCCACCUGCAAGCCAGGAAGAAAGGUCUCACCAGAUACCAACCCUGCCAGCAUGUUGAUCUUGGACUUCCAGCCUCCAAAACUGGCCUUCUGCUCACAUGGGCUUCCGUGCACCUGCUUCAGGAGACAGCAACACUUGCGCCCGCACCGCGGCAGGCUCCCAUCACCUGGUGGAUAUGCCGCGCCGAGUCUCAUCACACCUUAGUGAAGGAACACAUGGACCCAUAUGUUAGCGGAUGUAUUUACAUCGUUUUAUACAGAAAGGGGAAGAAAACUGCAUACCUCAGAAAGGGGUUGCUCCUCACUCUGAGUACUAGACUAAAGAUAAAAAGACUAGAUAAAAGUACUAGACUAAAGACAGAGCUGACCCAUGACAGGAAACCAAUACAGAGUUUUGUACUGGAAAGUGAGGUGCUGCUGUAACAAGUACCUGAGAAUGUGGGAGUGGCUUUGGAAUUCAGAAUUGGGUAAUGAGUAGAGGUUUGAAGAAUUUUGAAGCCUUUAUUGCUUUGAAGAGAUUAUUUGUGAAAAUAUGAAUGUUACAGGUGCUUCUGGUGAAAACUCACAUGGAAAUGAGGAACAUGUU